CAGUCGCCACGGUAAUACGAAGGGGGCUAGCGUUGCUCGGAAUUACUGAGCGUAAAGGGAGCGUAGGCGGAUGUUUAAGUCAGAGGUGAAAGCCCAGGGCUCAACCUUGGAACUGCCUUUGAUACUGGACAUCUUGAGUGUGGGAGAGGUAAGCGGAACUCCGAGUGUAGAGGUGAAAUUCGUAGAUAUUCGGAAGAACACCAGUGGCGAAGGCGGCUUACUGGCCCAUUACUGACGCUGAGGCUCGAAAGCGUGGGGAGCAAACAGGAUUAGAUACCCGUGUAGUCCCUGUCUCUUAUAC
rnacentral:rRNA from 1 species